GACGAACGCUGGCGGCGUGCUUAACACAUGCAAGUCGAACGGAAAGGCCCUGCUUUUGUGGGGUGCUCGAGUGGCGAACGGGUGAGUAACACGUGAGUUACCUGCCCUUGACUUUGGUAUAACUUCAGGAAACUGGGGCUAAUCCCGGAUAGGAGCUCCUGCUUCUUGGUGGUGGUUGGAAUGUUUCGGCGGUUGGGGAUGGACUCGCGGCUUUUCAGCUUGUUGGUGGGGUAGUGGCUUACCAAGGCUUUGACGGGUAGCCGGCCUGAGAGGGUGACCGGCAACAUUGGGACUGAGAUGCGGCCCAGAAUCCUACGGGAGGCAGCAGUGGGGAAUAGUGCAAAAUGGGCGGAAGCCUGAUGCAGCAACGCCGCGUGCGGGAUGACGGCCUUCGGGUUGUAAACCGCUUUCGCCUGUGACGAAGCGUGAGUGACGGUAAUGGGUAAAGAAGCACCGGCUAACUACGUG
rnacentral:rRNA from 1 species